rnacentral:rRNA from 1 species
AAAAGAAACUAACAAAGGAUUCCCCUAGUAACUGCGAGUGAAGCGGGAAGAGCUCAAAUUUAAAAUCUGGCGGUCUUUGGCCGUCCGAGUUGUAGUCUGGAGAAGCGCUUUCCGUGCUGGACCGUGUACAAGUCUCUUGGAACAGAGCGUCAUAGAGGGUGAGAAUCCCGUCUUUGACACGGACUACCAGUGCUUUGUGAUGCGCUCUCAAAGAGUCGAGUUGUUUGGGAAUGCAGCUCAAAAUGGGUGGUGAAUUCCAUCUAAAGCUAAAUAUUGGCGAGAGACCGAUAGCGAACAAGUACCGUGAGGGAAAGAUGAAAAGCACUUUGGAAAGAGAGUUAAACAGUACGUGAAAUUGCUGAAAGGGAAACGCUUGAAGUCAGUCGCGUCGUCCAGGACUCAGCCUUGCUUAUGCUUGGUGCACUUUCUGGACGGCGGGCCAGCAUCGAUUCUGACCGUCGGAAAAGGGCUGGGGUAAUGUGGCACCUCCGGGUGUGUUAUAGACCUUGGUCGCAUACGGCGGUUGGGAUUGAGGAACGCAGCGUGCCGCAAGGCAGGGGUUCGCCCACUUUUCACGCUUAGGAUGCUGGCAUAAUGGCUUUAAACGACCCGUCUUGAAACACGGACCAAGGAGUCUAACAAACCUGCGAGUGUUUGGGUGGAAAACCCGAGCGCGCAAUGAAAGUGAAAGUUGAGACCUCUGUCGUGGAGGGCAUCGACGCCCGGACCUGACGUUCUCUGACGGAUCCGCGGUAGAGCAUGUUUGUUGGGACCCGAAAGAUGGUGAACUAUGCCUGAAUAGGGUGAAGCCAGAGGAAACUCUGGUGGAGGCUCGUAGCGAUUCUGACGUGCAAAUCGAUCGUCAAAUUUGGGUAUAGGGGCGAAAGACUAAUCGAACCAUCUAGU